GCAGCAGCCGCCUGCCGGCCUCAAGCCCUGGGACCCGGGACCAGCUCCUGGGGCCCGAGAGGCGCGGGGACGGUGUGCCGGCGGGCUGGGGGGAGCUGAAGGCUCCGGGCCCCCGCCUGCUCCUGCCCCCCCAAAACUAGCGAAGCGGCCCCAAGCUUGGGGGAAGGUGGGGGACAGGUGCAGCGCUCACCGUGCACCCCUCCCGCCUUAACCCUGCCCAGGCCGGAGCUGAGGAGAGGGCUCGGUCCCCAGUGGGCCUGGAGCACACUCCUGGAAUAGUGAGUGGGUGGACCCCCAUCUUGCAGAUGGGGAAACUGAGGCUUGGGGAGGCGACAUGGCUCGUCCAGGUUCACGGAGCCAGAAAACGGGCAGAAAGCAGCUGGAGUGCUAGGUCCACACUGUCACCGGGGAAGUCAUAACCAGUAGCCACAACUGUGACAAAAGGCCACCAGGACCGACUCUGCUGCUUAUCAACCGAGUGACCUGGAAAUAGGGACUCAGUGUACCCAGGUGUUCUUAUAAGAGACAGAAGAGAAGAGAGAUGGGAAGAAGGCCAUAUGAAGACGACGCUGAGAUGGGGUGGUGGAACAGCAAGCCAGGGAACACCAGAGCCUCCAGGGACUGGAAGAGGCCUGGAAGGAUCCUCUGCUACCACCUUCAAGGGAACACGGCCCUGAGGACAUCUUGAUUUCAGACCAUGUCCUCCAGAACUGCGGGAUAAUGAAAUUCCUGUUGUGUUAAGCCCCCUAGUCUGUGGUCAUUCGUCACAGCAGCCCCAGGACUCGAAUACAGUUGGUUCUCGCACGACUUAGCAUAACCAUUGUCAAAUGUACAAAAAAAAUGGAAAACACUGCCCGUUUGUACACCCACCACCUAGAGUCCAUAGUUGACGUUUGGCUUGAUUUGUCAUCAUCUGUGCUUUCAUCCAUCCACCCACCCUCCUCAUUAAAAUUUUUGUGUAUUAAGAAUUAAUUUAAAAAAAAAAAAAGA